GACAGAGGGUGCGAACGUUGCUCGGAAUCACUGGGCGUAAAGCGCGCGUAGGCGGCCCGGUAAGUCCGCUGUGAAAGUCCAGGGCUCAACCCUGGGAUGCCGGUCGAUACUGCCGGACUAGAGUUCGGAAGAGGCGAGUGGAAUUCCUGGUGUAGCGGUGGAUGCGCAGAUAUCAGGAGGAACACCAAUGGGCGAAGGCAGCUCGCUGGGACGUGACUGACGCUGGAGACGCGA
rnacentral:rRNA from 1 species